GGGAUAACACCUGGAAACAGAUGCUAAUACCGGAUAACAACACUAGACGCAUGUCUAGAGUUUGAAAGAUGGUUCUGCUAUCACUCUUGGAUGGACCUGCGGUGCAUUAGCUAGUUGGUAAGGUAACGGCUUACCAAGGCAAUGAUGCAUAGCCGAGUUGAGAGACUGAUCGGCCACAUUGGGACUGAGACACGGCCCAAACUCCUACGGGAGGCAGCAGUAGGGAAUCUUCCACAAUGGACGAAAGUCUGAUGGAGCAACGCCGCGUGAGUGAAGAAGGGUUUCGGCUCGUAAAGCUCUGUUGGUAGUGAAGAAAGAUAGAGGUAGUAACUGGCCUUUAUUUGACGGUAAUUACUUAGAAAGUCACGGCUAACUACGUGCCAGCAGCCGCGGUAAUACGUAGGUGGCAAGCGUUGUCCGGAUUUAUUGGGCGUAAAGCGAGUGCAGGCGGUUCAAUAAGUCUGAUGUGAAAGCCUCCGACUCAACCGGAGAAUUGCAUCAGAAACUGUUGAACUUGAGUGCAGAAGAGGAGAGUGGAACUCCAUGUGUAGCGGUGGAAUGCGUAGAUGUAUGGAAGAACACCAGUGGCGAAGGCGGCUCUCUGGUCUGCAACUGACGCUGAGGCUCGAAAGCAUGGGUAGCGAACAGGAUUAGAUACCCUGGUAGUCCAUGCCGUAAACGAUGAGU
rnacentral:rRNA from 1 species